CUGGCAUCAAACAUCUCCCUGGCAUCUCCUCAGACUGGCAUCAACUCUCCCUCUGGCAUCUCCUAAGACUGGCAUCAAAACUCUCCCUGGCAUCUCCUCCUACUGGCAUCAACUCUCCCUCUGGCAUCUCCUCAGACUGGCAUCAACUCUCCCUCUGGCAUCUCCUAAGACUGGCAUCAAAACUCUCCCUGGCAUCUCCUCCUACUGGCAUCAACUCUCCCUCUGGCAUCUCCUCAACCUGUCAUCAAAUCUCUCCCUGGCAUCUCCUCAGAGUGGCAUCUCCUCAUCCUGGCAUCAAAUCUCUCUCUGGCAUCUCCUCAGACUGGCAUCAACUCUCCCUCUGGCAUCGCCUCAACCUGGCGUCAAAUAUCUCCCUAGCAUCUCCUCAGAGUGGCAUCUCCUCAACCUGGCAUCAACUUUCCCUCUGGAAUCUCCUCAACCUGGCAUCAAAUCUCUCCCUGGCAUCUGCUCAGACUGGCAUCAAAUCUCAUCCUGGCAUCUCCUCAGACUGGCAUCAUUGAACUCAGCUCUGAAAGGCUCAGUAAGACAGCUGGGGGAGAGGAGGGCCUCUCCGUCCAUCACACCACGCUAGUGUUGAACUCUGUUAGCACUCAUUGUUUAACACUUAGCAUGAGGGCUAGUUUAGCCAAAGUGCAUUUAGCCUUGUAUACUAAAGUCUAGACAGCACUCACUUUUUUGUGCGUGUCGUUUCUGAGUGGAUGUUGUGACUUCUGUUGUGUGUAUGCAUGUGUGAAUUGUCAGUCGAGUUCAUCGCUGAGAGUAUAGCCUUCAUAGCUGAGAGUAUAGAGUUCAUUGUUGAGAGUAUAUAGUUCAUUGUUGAGAGUAUAUAGUUCAUUGUUGAGAGUAUAUAGUUCAUUGUUGAGAGUAUUCUGAGCUUGUUUUAGACAGCCAAGUUUAGAGUAAUGGAGGAUUUUGCCAGAUGGAAGGAUGGGAUUUUCUCCGCAGCACUCUGUGUCUGUGAUUGACAGAGCAAAAAAGGAAAGCAGAGAGCAAAUUCUCUCUACCUCAUGGCUUCUUUCUUUAUUUUCCCCCUGUGCCCUCAGUUGAGUGAGUCUAGAGAGGGAGAGAGAGAGAGUUGGAGAGAGAGAGAGAGAGAGAGAGAGAGAGGGAGAGAGAGAGAGGGAGAGAGAGAGUAAGAGAAUGAGAUGGAGGGAGAAUGAGAUGGAGAGAGGAGGAGAGGAAGAGAGAGUGAGAGAGACAUAUGGAAAGUGGGCGAAGCAAGGAGUUUAGUCUUUCCUGAGCUUGUCCCAUCACCCUCCCUGACAGAACCACCAUUUUAGUUUUCUGGCUCCAUUUUACAUGUGAGUUUCCUCCUCUUCGCUUUGGGAGCUGGAGCUUCAAUUAACAACCAUGGCACUCUGUGGGGAAUGAGAAUUUAAAACAGUGUGUCUCAUUUAUGGGUUUUUGCUUGGCUGGCUAAAAACAGUGUUCUGGUUAAAAAAAGAUGCACUUUACUCCAAAAUAGUUUUUGUGAGAGUACUUUUAAGACGGCAGACCUUGAAUGAGUGACUUGCCUCUAAUUGAGAUCAGUUCCAGUAAGUAUUUUUAAAAGCAAUUAUUCUAUUCUGGACCUAAUUCAACCAAUCGCAGAUGAAGGCAAUUGAUUGCAAUCAAUAUACAAUGACAAUGUCUGUGAGAGGGGCAUGCACUAUGUCAGUUUCACAGUUUACACCUGAUUGAAUCUGUAAUGUGGUUGUCAUUAUCCACACCUGACAGUCCUCUUAGAAGGGCCCAGAACUACUAACCUGUCUCUCAGGCUCUGAACAUUUGAUUCUGCAUUUGUCUAAUGAGCCACCUUAAUCUCUCUCCAUACCUUACUGAGGAUGAGGCUUUAACCUGAAGGGCAGCCUAUACUGGAUGUACCCACUGGGAAAAAACUGCUUGAAUCAACAUUGUUUCCACAUCAUUUCAACCCACAAAAAUGUAUGUGAUGAUGUUGAAUCAACUUAGAAAACUGAUUAGAUUUGCAAAAAGUCAACGUAAGGGCAUUUUGUAUGGUGACAUGGUGAAAUGACAUGGUGAAAUUUCACGUUGAAUUCACGUUAGUUGACAACUCAACCAAAUGUGAAUCAACACUAAACGUUGAACUGACAUCUGUGCCCAGUGGGUAUUGGGCUUUCAGUUGUGAGGCUCGCUAUUCAUUCUAAUCGAGAUGCACUUCCCGAAAUAGGAUCAUCAUCAAUCAACCACCCUUAUCCCUGCGUCAUAUGUCUCCCGUUUGCAGGGUGCCCCCCGAUGGUUGCUCCGUUUUCCCCUAGGGAUAGGCUUAUCCACACGGUGAUUACCCACGGGGAGACUCGCUGUGUGAAGGAGGUUGGUAAACGACUGGGCGGAAUGUACACAGCUCUCACUACAUAUACUGUACACAACCACCAUCUAGGCUAUUAUACAGCAGCAGAACGCUGACAGGCAAGCAGACACCCAAUUAUUUUUUUAAAUUGGGAACUUUAACAUUGUGUGUCAUGUGUCGCAUCACCUAAGUAAAGUAUCCAAGUUGAAUGGCAUCCAAAUAAAACGAGCAAAUGGCCCAGGGAUUUAAUGCCAGUAAAUGAUGAUACAGCUGUGCGGUAUCUCUCUCUCUCUCUCUCUCUCUCACUCUCUCUCUCUCUCUGUCUCUCUCUCUGUCUCUCUCUCUCUCUCUCUCUCUCUCUCUCUCUCUCUCUCUCUCUCUCUCUCUCUCUCUCUCUCUCUCUCUCUCUCUCUCUCUCUCUCUCUCUCUCUCUCUCUCUCUCUCUCUCUCUCUCUC
rnacentral:lncRNA from 13 species